ACGGCUUUGAGCAGCAAAGCCAAGUUAGCCCACGCAUGCACGUGUUUUGUCACGGUUCGUCACGCGGCACAUGAAUAAAAAAUAAUUUUUCCGAAAAUGGAGGAUGAAAAAAUAAAUCUUGCGUGGCCGCUUUGCCCUGCCUCGUGUCAGCAAAGCAACUUCCUUGUCAACAAUUUCUGUCAUCCAGUUAGCCAAAGUGACUCAAGGUUGUGUUUUCUCCGUUUUCUCCUUUGUCUCUCCGCCAAGCUGUACAAGAGUAUUAGUUGUGCUAGUCUGUGUAGACAAGCGCUGACUCGUGUGAGCUGGAAGCGCUUGAAAAUUCACAACUUCAAACAGCGAUCGAUCGCGCUUGGUUGAAAUAUUUAUUUGUUGCGUGGGCAGAUAGAGUAGCUCAUGGUCGCAGUAGUGAAUUUCCUGGAGUUCAUGAGGCCAAGCAAGAACUACUCGAAGCAGAGGACCAGUAGGCCUCGACUUGGCGAGUGGCGUUGACGCCAACUCAGAAAUGGCUGUGAUUACCUGUCAACAAAUCUAGCCAAAGAAGUAGACAAGGAGCAGAGGCAUUUACAUGGACAACGUACGAUGGUGGUUUGCAACAUGCUACUACUGCUGGAGCGACGUUGAGUGCAGGGACGAUCGUUGAUCAUCUACGUAUCGGGUGUGGUUGUCAAACGCUUGUGGCCUUUGAUGUGGAUAUGAAGAUUUUAUGCCCACUGUGCGUUCGUUAUGCACCACAUCUGCUGUGCACGUGGCAUUACCCUAUCUCAGGGCGAAAUCAUCAACCCAGUCAUUCUGGGUAAAACUAUUCCUGAUAGCUGUGCAGGCCAGCACAAGAACCAGUACGCUGCACUAAACAAGGUGCUUAUGUUCGUGUGCUUGAUGGUCAAUGGAAUGAGUUCAACUGAAAGCAACGGUUCCGCAGGUCAUCGACAACCUCAGCAAGGUGGUCGGCCCAGCAACAGUGGUGACGGUACUUGGCAUAGAAGUCGACAGCGAGGACCAGGUGAUGCGGCUACCUGACAAGAAGUUAUUUGCCUUUCUAGCGGCUUUGAGUGAGUAGUCCACGCGCACUAGCUACACAACGCGGGAACUGCUGUCGCUGAUCGGAACCUUGUCCUUGCCGCAAAGGUGGUUCCUCCUGGCAGGACCUUCAUCCGUCAACUCCUGUAUCUUAGCUGGACAACUCUCUCAGUCUCUUCAGUCAGUAGUCAACAUCAACACAAAAGCUCACUUGGACAUCGAAUGGUCGCGCUCCCUUGCCGCAAACUGGAAUGGCCAAUCCUUCUUCUACGAUGUCGAGUGUUCAAAGUCCCCUGACCUUGAGCUAUUCACGGAUGCCUCUGAUGUUGGCUUCUGUGGUUUCUAUCAAGGACAAUCGUUUUUGGGGCAAUGGGCCGCUGAGAUGCAGCAUGAACCUAUUGUGAUUACUCGCUUCCGAGAACUGGCUUCCACAGCCAACCAAUGCCUGGUGCCAACUCCUCCGCUGAACUCGCCGCUCUGAUUGCUGCCAGCAAUGAUCUCAUGAGCGACUCAGACCUUUUAAGCCCGGUAUUUGCGCACACAUAAUCUGAUGUACCCAGUUUCGGCUAUGGCCGAGUUCCGGUCCCUGACCACUACUGCCGGCAGCUCACGGCCAGUGUUUGUGUUCGUCGACGGCGGCUACUUCUCCCGAGUUUUCUCGACUAGGAUCCUCAACUGCAACCGGGUGAGCUCCCAUUCUGUGCGCAUUGGCGGGGCCACACUCAUGGCUCACCGGAGUACAAGUGUCUGUGAAGCAGCCAUAUGCCGUGCAGGCUGCUGGCGAAGUGCAGCAUCCGAUCACUAUGUCAGGCGUGCAGCCGGUAUACCCUCUGUGCAAUGGCUAGCAGCAAAGACUGGAACAGCCCACGCCCAUGUGGUGUUGAGAACAGAAGUGAGGUACAUUUGUAGUGUUGUACAGUGUUGUGCCGUCCGCUUGUUGUGCAGUCCUUGUGCCGGUGUGGCUCUGUGGGUAUCACUUAGGGGUUUGCCAUGGUUACUUGCAGGAAGUUAUGCUAAUGAGCGAUGCCGUGAGAAAUGCUUGGUCGUAAACACUGGUUUUUGGGAGGGUCAAAUGCAUUUGCCUCUCAGUGUUGUGCUGUACUGUCUCAGUGUUGUGACACCUGUAUGUUGUUGUGUGGUUGACCCGCCGGUUUGAGGCAUGGGUGGUCAACUGUGUAUGUUGUAUCGGUGUGUUCCCGUUUGAAGUUGCCGGGCCACAAUGUGGUUGACCCGCCGGUUUGAGGCAUGGGUGGUCAACUGUGUCUAUUGUAUCGGUGUGUUCCCGUUUGAAGUUGCCGGGCCACCAUGUGGUUGACCCGCCGAAAAUGGAGGCAUGGGUGGUCAACUGUGUCUGUUGUAUCGGUGUGUUCCCGUUUGAAGUUGCCGGGCCACCAUGUGGUUGACCCGCCGAAAAUGGAGGCAUGGGUGGUCAACUGUGUCUAUUGUAUCGGUGUGUUCCCGUUUGAAGUUGCCGGGCCACCAUGUGGUUGACCCGCCGAAAAUGGAGGCAUGGGUGGUCAACUGUGUCUGUUGUAUCGGUGUGUUCCCGUUUGAAGUUGCCGGGCCACCAUGUGGUUGACCCGCCGAAAAUGGAGGCAUGGGUGGUCAACCGUGUAUGUGUAUCAUUGAAGUUGCAAUACGUACAUUGCUGUGACUCGCCCGAUUGCUGUUGCCGGGCACCUACGCAUUUAUUUGCCUACUUGUGAAGAGAUAUCUCUUCUGGUUUAUUGCAUAAUUCUUGGCUCAAUGUUAUCCACGGUGUCGCUCGAUGCAAAGUCUCGUAAAUAUUUAUCAGACAAAAUUGAAAAAAAAAAACUAUGGCAAACCCCACUUCCUUGUGUUCUAUCUGCUUGGUGUACAUGUGUCCACGUUUUGUACGUUUGGCACGCAUGUGCGUGCGUGUGUAUGUGAGAGCGUGUCUGGAUAAAUGUGCAUAUUGAUGUUUUGGUUGUUUUAUGUUUUAUUGUGUGUAUGCGUGCAUGCAUGUGGGUUAAAUGACGGCUUUGAGCAGCAAAGCCAAGUUAGCCCACGCAUGCACGUGUUUUGUCACGGUUCGUCACAUGGCACAUGAAUAAAAAAUAAUUUUUCCGAAAAUGGAGGAUGAAAAAAUAAAUCUUGCGUGGCCGCUUUGCCCUGCCUCGUGUCAGCAAAGCAACUUCCUUGUCAACAAUUUCUGUCAUCCAGUUAGCCAAAGUGACUCAAGGUUGUGUUUUCUCCCCUCCCUCCCUCCCUUUAGACAUGACACGUCGGUAUCUUGUGCCACAUGACGAGGCCCCAAGGAGGGUCAAAUGCAUUUGCCUCUCAGUGUUGUGCUGUACUGUCUCAGUGUUGUGACACCUGUAUGUUGUUGUGUGGUUGACCCGCCGGUUUGAGGCAUGGGUGGUCAACUGUGUAUGUUGUAUCGGUGUGUUCCCGUUUGAAGUUGCCGGGCCACAAUGUGGUUGACCCGCCGGUUUGAGGCAUGGGUGGUCAACUGUGUCUAUUGUAUCGGUGUGUUCCCGUUUGAAGUUGCCGGGCCACCAUGUGGUUGACCCGCCGAAAAUGGAGGCAUGGGUGGUCAACUGUGUCUGUUGUAUCGGUGUGUUCCCGUUUGAAGUUGCCGGGCCACCAUGUGGUUGACCCGCCGAAAAUGGAGGCAUGGGUGGUCAACUGUGUCUAUUGUAUCGGUGUGUUCCCGUUUGAAGUUGCCGGGCCACCAUGUGGUUGACCCGCCGAAAAUGGAGGCAUGGGUGGUCAACUGUGUCUGUUGUAUCGGUGUGUUCCCGUUUGAAGUUGCCGGGCCACCAUGUGGUUGACCCGCCGAAAAUGGAGGCAUGGGUGGUCAACCGUGUAUGUGUAUCAUUGAAGUUGCAAUACGUACAUUGCUGUGACUCGCCCGAUUGCUGUUGCCGGGCACCUACGCAUUUAUUUGCCUACUUGUGAAGAGAUAUCUCUUCUGGUUUAUUGCAUAAUUCUUGGCUCAAUGUUAUCCACGGUGUCGCUCGAUGCAAAGUCUCGUAAAUAUUUAUCAGACAAAAUUGAAAAAAAAAAACUAUGGCAAACCCCA